rnacentral:rRNA from 1 species
CACGUAGGGUGCGAGCGUUGUCCGGAAUUAUUGGGCGUAAAGAGCUCGUAGGCGGUGUGUCGCGUCGGCCGUGAAAACCUGCAGCUUAACUGUGGGCUUGCGGUCGAUACGGGCAUCACUGGAGUUCGGCAGGGGAGACUAGAAUUCCUGGUGUAGCGGUGAAAUGCGCAGAUAUCAGGAGGAACACCGGUGGCGAAGGCGGGUCUCUGGGCCGAUACUGACGCUGAGGAGCGAAAGCGUGGGGGAGCGAACAGG